rnacentral:rRNA from 1 species
AUUGAACGCUGGCGGCAGGCCUAACACAUGCAAGUCGAGCGGAUGAAGGGAGCUUGCUCGUGGAUUCAGCGGCGGACGGGUGAGUAAUGCCUAGGAAUCUGCCUGGUAGUGGGGGAUAACGUCCGGAAACGGGCGCUAAUACCGCAUACGUCCUGAGGGAGAAAGUGGGGGAUCUUCGGACCUCACGCUAUCAGAUGAGCCUAGGUCGGAUUAGCUAGUUGGUGGGGUAAAGGCCUACCAAGGCGACGAUCCGUAACUGGUCUGAGAGGAUGAUCAGUCACACUGGAACUGAGACACGGUCCAGACUCCUACGGGAGGCAGCAGUGGGGAAUAUUGGACAAUGGGCGAAAGCCUGAUCCAGCCAUGCCGCGUGUGUGAAGAAGGUCUUCGGAUUGUAAAGCACUUUAAGUUGGGAGGAAGGGCAGUAAGUUAAUACCUUGCUGUUUUGACGUUACCAACAGAAUAAGCACCGGCUAACUUCGUG